rnacentral:tRNA from 1 species
UGGAGUGUAGUUCAAUGGUAGAGCACAUGUUUAACAUGCAUGAGGCCCUGGGUUCAAUUUCCAGCACCCCCG